rnacentral:rRNA from 1 species
UGACGAGCGGCGGACGGGUGAGUAACGCGUAGGAAUCUACCCAGUAGCGGGGGAUAGCCCGGGGAAACUCGGAUUAAUACCGCAUACGCCCCAAGGGGAAAAGCAGGGGAUCUUCGGACCUUGCACUAUUGGAUGAGCCCAAGUCAGAUUAGCUAGUUGGUGAGGUAAUGGCUCACCAAGGCGAUAAUCAAUAGCUGAUUUGAGAGGAUGAUCAGCCACACUGGGACUGAGAUAUGGCCCAGACUCC